GUGCUAAUACAUGCAAGUCGAGCGGACAGAUGGGAGCUUGCUCCCUGAUGUUAGCGGCGGACGGGUGAGUAACACGUGGGUAACCUGCCUGUAAGACUGGGAUAACUCCGGGAAACCGGGGCUAAUACCGGAUGGUUGUUUGAACCGCAUGGUUCAAACAUAAAAGGUGGCUUCGGCUACCACUUACAGAUGGACCCGCGGCGCAUUAGCUAGUUGGUGAGGUAACGGCUCACCAAGGCAACGAUGCGUAGCCGACCUGAGAGGGUGAUCGGCCACACUGGGACUGAGACACGGCCCAGACUCCUACGGGAGGCAGCAGUAGGGAAUCUUCCGCAAUGGACGAAAGUCUGACGGAGCAACGCCGCGUGAGUGAUGAAGGUUUUCGGAUCGUAAAGCUCUGUUGUUAGGGAAGAACAAGUACCGUUCGAAUAGGGCGGUACCUUGACGGUACCUAACCAGAAAGCCACGGCUAACUACGUGCCAGCAGCCGCGGUAAUACGUAGGUGGCAAGCGUUGUCCGGAAUUAUUGGGCGUAAAGGGCUCGCAGGCGGUUUCUUAAGUCUGAUGUGAAAGCCCCCGGCUCAACCGGGGAGGGUCAUUGGAAACUGGGGAACUUGAGUGCAGAAGAGGAGAGUGGAAUUCCACGUGUAGCGGUGAAAUGCGUAGAGAUGUGGAGGAACACCAGUGGCGAAAGCGACUCUCUGGUCUGUAACUGACGCUGAGAGCGAAAGCGUGGGGAGCGAACAGGAUUAGAUACCCUGGUAGUCCACGCCGUAAACGAUGAGUGC
rnacentral:rRNA from 2 species